rnacentral:rRNA from 1 species
GACGAACGCUGGCGGCGUGCCUAAUACAUGCCAGUAGAACGCUGAAGGAGGAGCUUGCUCUUCUGGAUGAGUUGCGAACGGGUGAGUAACGCGUAGGUAACCUGCCUGGUAGCGGGGGAUAACUAUUGGAAACGAUAGCUAAUACCGCAUAACAGUAGAUGUUGCAUGACAUUUGCUUAAAAGGUGCAAUUGCACCACUACCAGAUGGGCCUGCGUUGUAUUAGCUAGUUGGUGGGGUAAAGGCUCACCAAGGCGACGAUACAUAGCCGACCUGCGAGGGGGAUCGGCCAACAUGGGACUGAGACACGGCCCAGAAUCCUACGGGAAGCAGCAGGAGGGAAUCUUCGGGAAUGGACGGAAGGCUGACCGAGCAACGCCGCGUGAGUGAAGAAGGGUUUCGGAUCGUAAAGCUCUGUUGUAAGAGAAGAACGAGUGUGAGAGUGGAAAGUUCACACUGUGACGGUAUCUUACCAGAAAGGGACGGCUAACUACGUG